rnacentral:rRNA from 3 species
AGACCCGAAACCCGGUGAUCUAGCCAUGGGCAGGUUGAAGGUUGGGUAACACUAACUGGAGGACCGAACCGACUAAUGUUGAAAAAUUAGCGGAUGACCUGUGGCUGGGGGUGAAAGGCCAAUCAAACCGGGAGAUAGCUGGUUCUCCCCGAAAGCUAUUUAGGUAGCGCCUCGUGAAUUCAUCUCCGGGGGUAGAGCACUGUUUCGGCUAGGGGGCCAUCCCGGCUUACCAACCCGAUGCAAACUGCGAAUACCGGAGAAUGUUAUCACGGGAGACACACGGCGGGUGCUAACGUCCGUCGUGAAGAGGGAAACAACCCAGACCGCCAGCUAAGGUCCCAAAGUCAUGGUUAAGUGGGAAACGAUGUGGGAAGGCCCAGACAGCCAGGAUGUUGGCUUAGAAGCAGCCAUCAUUUAAAGAAAGCGUAAUAGCUCACUGGUCGAGUCGGCCUGCGCGGAAGAUGUAACGGGGCUAAACCAUGCACCGAAGCUGCGGCAGCGAACGUAUCACCCAAGACAACUUUACGGAGUUGACGAUUGACGGAGCGAAGCGACGUCAAAGCGUUCAUUAAAGUCGAGUUGGCUUAGGGAUACGUUCGUUGGGUAGGGGAGCGUUCUGUAAGCCUGUGAAGGUGUGUCGUGAGGCAUGCUGGAGGUAUCAGAAGUGCGAAUGCUGACAUAAGUAACGAUAAAGCGGGUGAAAAGCCCGCUCGCCGGAAGACCAAGGGUUCCUGUCCAACGUUAAUCGGGGCAGGGUGAGUCGACCCCUAAGGCGAGGCCGAAAGGCGUAGUCGAUGGGAAACGGGUUAAUAUUCCCGUACUUGGUGUUACUGCGAAGGGGGGACGGAGAAGGCUAUGUUGGCCGGGCGACGGUUGUCCCGGUUUAAGCGUGUAGGUGUGUGUUCCAGGUAAAUCCGGUUCACUUUAACACUGAGGCGUGAUGACGAGGCACUAC